GACGUAGGGUGCAAGCGUUGUCCGGAUUUAUUGGGCGUAAAGAGCGUGUAGGCGGCCAGGUAGGUCUGCUGUGAAAACUCGAGGCUCAACCUCGAGACGUCGGCGGAAACCAUCUGGCUAGAGUCCGGAAGAGGAGAGUGGAAUUCCUGGUGUAGCGGUGAAAUGCGCAGAUAUCAGGAAGAACACCCGUGGCGAAGGCGGCUCUCUGGGACGGUACUGACGCUGAGACGCGAAAGCGUGGGGAGCGAACAGG
rnacentral:rRNA from 1 species